rnacentral:rRNA from 1 species
CACUCCUACGGGAGGCAGCAGUGGGGAAUAUUGCACAAUGGGCGCAAGCCUGAUGCAGCCAUGCCGCGUGUAUGAAGAAGGCCUUCGGGUUGUAAAGUACUUUCAGCGGGGAGGAAGGCGAUAAGGUUAAUAACCUUGUUGAUUGACGUUACCCGCAGAAGAAGCACCGGCUAACUCCGUGCCAGCAGCCGCGGUAAUACGGAGGGUGCAAGCGUUAAUCGGAAUUACUGGGCGUAAAGCGCACGCAGGCGGUCUGUCAAGUCGGAUGUGAAAUCCCCGGGCUCAACCUGGGAACUGCAUUCGAAACUGGCAGGCUAGAGUCUUGUAGAGGGGGGUAGAAUUCCAGGUGUAGCGGUGAAAUGCGUAGAGAUCUGGAGGAAUACCGGUGGCGAAGGCGGCCCCCUGGACAAAGACUGACGCUCAGGUGCGAAAGCGUGGGGAGCAAACAGGAUUAGAUACCCUUGUAGUCCCA